rnacentral:rRNA from 1 species
AAUCAAGCGUCUUAAGGGCAUUCGGUGGAUGCCUUGGCGCGCAGAGGCGAUGAAGGACGUGGCACGCUGCGAUAAGCCAUGGGGAGCUGUGAGCAAGCUUUGAUCCGUGGAUUUCCGAAUGGGGAAACCCAACCCGCAAGGGUUAUCGUUACCUGAAUACAUAGGGUAACGAAGCGAACCCGGGGAACUGAAACAUCUCAGUACCCGGAGGAAAGGACAUCAACCGAGACUCCGUUAGUAGUGGCGAGCGAACGCGGACUAGGCCAAUGCCUCAAGUCUUCUAACUGGAACCGUCUGGAAAGUCGGGCCUUAGCGGGUGAUAGCCCCGUACAGGUGUUGAAGGCAU